CUAUACAUGCAGUCGAGCGAACAGAUAAGGAGCUUGCUCCUUUGACGUUAGCGGCGGACGGGUGAGUAACACGUGGAUAACCUACCUAUAAGACUGGGAUAACUUCGGGAAACCGGAGCUAAUACCGGAUAAGAUUUUGAACCGCAUGGUUCAAUAGUGAAAGACGGCCUUGCUGUCACUUAUAGAUGGAUCCGCGCCGUAUUAGCUAGUUGGUAAGGUAACGGCUUACCAAGGCAACGAUACGUAGCCGACCUGAGAGGGUGAUCGGCCACACUGGAACUGAGACACGGUCCAGACUCCUACGGGAGGCAGCAGUAGGGAAUCUUCCGCAAUGGGCGAAAGCCUGACGGAGCAACGCCGCGUGAGUGAUGAAGGUCUUCGGAUCGUAAAACUCUGUUAUCAGGGAAGAACAAACGUGUAAGUAACUGUGCACGUCUUGACGGUACCUGAUCAGAAAGCCACGGCUAACUACGUGCCAGCAGCGGCCCGGUAAUAAA
rnacentral:rRNA from 1 species